rnacentral:lncRNA from 1 species
CUUUUUUUUUUUUUUUUUUUUUUGGUAGGGAGUCAGACAGAACAAAAAGCAUUUGAAUAAUUCAACAGUUCCACAGACAUCUAGGCUGAACGGGGACAACAGAGAGAACUUGCUUGUCCCAUUUAACUGUUGCUUAGGAAUGUAAAGAGGUGAGCACUUAGAAUCUAGAAAAAAUUUUAGGAGAAGUGGUUUCCCAAUGCAUCCUGAAUGUCCCACUCUGUACUCUACUUUCUCCAUCAGUCAAAGCCUUCUCUGUAUCUCUAAUUGGAAUUAACUUCUCUUUUCUAAAUGCAAACCCUAUCUCGCAACCCAUUGACCAUACUUCCUUUGAGCACUUCUUCCUUCUCUGUGUCACUGACCUAGUUUUCUUGGAUUGUAAAUUCUUUUAUUGUAAAGACUAAUUUUUAAUCUUAUUUUUUGUGUGUUCACCAUUGCAGCUCCCAUCAUCACCACCUAAUAAUAAUUAUAAUGAUAGCCGCUUCCAUGUAUUAAGCGUUGCUCUUUGUCAGAGACUAUUCAAACAACAUCUUAUCUAAUCUUACAUCAGCCUAUUGAGACAUGUAAUUUUACUUUUAAAUAACUUUCCAAGAAUUAUGUAAGUAAGAGGCGGAGCUAGGAUUUCCAACUCAGGUUUGUCACAUUCUUUAAUUCCCAAGCUGGUGUUUCCAAGUUCUGUGAUAUUCUGCAAAGCGCAGUGCGUGAGAGAAAAAGCCCUCUAUGAGAAAUUCCACUCUUGUCUUACUAAGAUUCGGCACCAUCUGAAAAAAAAAAAAA